GGAGGAGGCCAGGCGGUCGCCGGCUUUCUUUUGAAAGGCGGGAGGAAAGUCCGAGCUCCACAGGGCAGGGUGCUGGCUAACGGCCAGUGGGGGCGACCCCCAGGAAAGUGCCACAGAGAGCAGACCGCCCAGCUUUGGCAGGGUAAGGGUGAAACGGUGAGGUAAGAGCUCACCAGUCCCGGGGGUGACUCCGGGAGCUAGGUAAACCCCACCCGGAGCAAGACCAAAUAGGGGGGCGUUGGAGGACGGCCCGUCCGAGCCCCCGGGUUGGUCGCUGGAGGCGCCGGGUAACCGGCGUCCUAGAGGAAUGACCGCCGCCCCGGCCGGGGUAACCCGGUCGGGGAACAGGACUCGGCUUACGGCCUCCUCCGGCC
rnacentral:RNase_P_RNA from 1 species